CAGUCGCCGCGGUAAUACAGAGGGUGCGAGCGUUAAUCGGAUUUACUGGGCGUAAAGCGUGCGUAGGCGGCUUCUUAAGUCGGAUGUGAAAUCCCUGAGCUUAACUUAGGAAUUUCAUUCGAUACUGGGAAGCUAGAGUAUGGGAGAGGAUGGUAGAAUUCCAGGUGUAGCGGUGAAAUGCGUAGAGAUCUGGAGGAAUACCGAUGGCGAAGGCAGCCAUCUGGCCUAAUACUGACGCUGAGGUACGAAAGCAUGGGGAGCAAACAGGAUUAGAUACCCGAGUAGUCCCUGUCUCUUAUAC
rnacentral:rRNA from 1 species